CGCGGGAUGGAGCAGUUGGCAGCUCGUCGGGCUCAUAACCCGAAGGUCGUUGGUUCGAGUCCAACUCCCGCUA
rnacentral:tRNA from 1 species